rnacentral:rRNA from 1 species
ACACAUGCAAGUCGAGGGGCAGCAUGGUCUUAGCUUGCUAAGGCCGAUGGCGACCGGCGCACGGGUGAGUAACACGUAUCCAACCUGCCGUCUACUCUUGGACAGCCUUCUGAAAGGAAGAUUAAUACAAGAUGGCAUCAUGAGUCCGCAUGUUCACAUGAUUAAAGGUAUUCCGGUAGACGAUGGGGAUGCGUUCCAUUAGAUAGUAGGCGGGGUAACGGCCCACCUAGUCUUCGAUGGAUAGGGGUUCUGAGAGGAAGGUCCCCCACAUUGGAACUGAGACACGGUCCAAACUCCUACGGGAGGCAGCAGUGAGGAAUAUUGGUCAAUGGGCGAGAGUCUGAACCAGCCAAGUAGCGUGAAGGAUGACUGCCCUAUGGGUUGUAAACUUCUUUUAUAAAGGAAUAAAGUCGGGUAUGGAUACCCGUUUGCAUGUACUUUAUGAAUAAGGAUCGGCUAACUCCGUGCCAGCAGCCGCGGUAAUACGGAGGAUCCGAGCGUUAUCCGGAUUUAUUGGGUUUAAAGGGAGCGUAGAUGGAUGUUUAAGUCAGUUGUGAAAGUUUGCGGCUCAACCGUAAAAUUGCAGUUGAUACUGGAUAUCUUGAGUGCAGUUGAGGCAGGCGGAAUUCGUGGUGUAGCGGUGAAAUGCUUAGAUAUCACGAAGAACUCCGAUUGCGAAGGCAGCCUGCUAAGCUGCAACUGACAUUGAGGCUCGAAAGUGUGGGUAUCAAACAGGAUUAGAUACCCUGGUAGUCCACACGGUAAACGAUGAAUACUCGCUGUUUGCGAUAUACUGCAAGCGGCCAAGCGAAAGCGUUAAGUAUUCCACCUGGGGAGUACGCCGG